UACGUAGGGUGCAAGCGUUGUCCGGAAUUAUUGGGCGUAAAGAGCUCGUAGGCGGUUUGUUGCGUCGGCUGUGAAAUCCCGAGGCUCAACCUCGGGUCUGCAGUCGAUACGAGCAAACUAGAGUGUUGCAGGGGAGACUGGAAUUCCUGGUGUAGCGGUGAAAUGCGCAGAUAUCAGGAGGAACACCGGUGGCGAAGGCGGGUCUCCUGGGGCAACAACUGACGCUGAGGGUGCGAAAGCGUGGGGAG
rnacentral:rRNA from 1 species